rfam:Corynebacterium sp. KPL1821 genomic scaffold addSR-supercont1.2, whole genome shotgun sequence.
CUGUCUUGUUCAUGCUGAUGUGCGACGGAGUCCGUGAACAGGACAGAAAGUUUGAGACGUCCAUCGCACCACAAAAGCUUUUACAAGCUGUGUGGCCCGAACACGGGAGAGAACGCUGAGCGUUACAAC